UACGUAGGGUGCAAGCGUUAUCCGGAUUUAUUGGGCGUAAAGAGUCUGUAGGUGGAAAUUUAGGUGGCGGGUUAAAUCUCACAGCUCAACUGUGAACCUGCUCGUCAAACCGGAUUUCUAGAGAGUGCUAGGGGAGGUUGGAAUUCUCGGUGGAGGGGUGAAAUCCGUUGAUAUCGAGAGGAACGCCAAGGGCGAAAGCAGACCUCUGGGGCACUACUGACACUAAGAGACGAAAGCUAGGGGAGCAAAAGGG
rnacentral:rRNA from 1 species